UCGUCAAGUGCUUCAAUUGCCGCCGAUCCCAGGUGGCCUGCCCCCACCCCCAGUGUUGCUUUGACGACGGAGUGGCUCUUUAGGUACGACUUGGAGGACCAGCUCUCGGUCAUAUACACCGACGAGGAGGCCUACUGGCGCUUGCGCGGCGCCCAGAAAUGGUUUCUGAAAGGUGACGCGAACACGGCCUACUUCCAGACCAUAGCGAAUGGUCGGUGUAGACGCAAGACCAUUCCCCUCCUUUGGGAUGGGGAUUCUCUGCUGCAGUCCCCCCGGGACAUCAGGGCUCAUGUCGAUGGAUUCUAUAGGGCCCUUUUCUCUGCCCCCCCUCGGGGAGGCUUAUCUUUGGCCCACGACUGCUGGUCCGGCCGCCAGCUUGUCUCCGCUCAGGAGAACGCGGUCCUUACGGCCCCCUUCUACGAGGGCGAGGUAUGGGAUGCCAUUCACGGCAUGAAUCCCACCUCGGCCCCGGGCCCGGAUGGCCUCCCCGUGAAAUUCUUCCAGACUUUCUAGAAUGUGAUCAAACUAGAGAUCAUGGCCAUUUUCGACGAGUUCUAUGUUUGGUCCAUCGACCUCGGGCGCCUCAACUAUGGGAUCAUCUCGCUCAUCCCGAAGGUCCCGGGCGCCUCCGACAUCCGCCAGUUUCGUCCAAUCACGGUCAUCAACGUGAUUUUUUGGAUUCUGGCAAAAGGGUACGCCAAUAGGGUAACCCUCCUCGCGGACCAGAUUACCCACCCCAACCAGUCCGCCUUUGAAGAUUGA
rnacentral:rRNA from 1 species